GCUUCCUCGAAUAGAAGUAAAGGAAAAUUCCCAUAUAUAAACACUUCCAAUGUAAAUUUUCCACAAUACCAGAAGAAGUCUGGUUUGGCCAGCCGAAAUAUAGUAUUCUCCGAAAAAAAGCAUUCUACUUAGUAAGGCUCUUGCUUAAUUUAGCACUCAUUGUCUUAUCAAAAAUUUGCCGAUCAGAUCAGAUCACCAGUUUGACCCAAGGUACACCAAUCGUCCACGGCUGCGAACUUCUCAGCAUUCUAGAAACCGUCAGUGUGCAUUUUUGUCACUUGCAACUUUUCAUACGAUAAACAAUUUUAGUUGUUUGUCAUUAAACCAUAUUAAAAACAAAAAUAAGUAACUCAAGUAAAUCAUUGCCAUGUCAUUGUAUACACUCCUCUUUUCUCUUUUUUAAAGAUUAGAUUGUCAAAUUUUGGAGCUGGGGUUGCAUAUUUUUUGUAAUUUGAGGCUGAAAAUGUUACGAUGAAUUUGCAUGAGAUGUAAGAAUAGCUGGUUUACUGGUACCAUUGAGUUCUUCAAUUCAAAGCUGGAAGAAUACUAGGUCAACUUCUUUGAACUCUUAAUUCCUGUGAUUAAUAUCACUGCUUGGAACAUAAUUCUGUAACUCAAGAUAAAUAAUUUUAUUGUCCAAGGUAAAAUUUUAAUUAAUGAGAAAUGGCAUUGAUUUUCAGAUUUUUCAAAGUUCAAUUUGAGCCAAAUUAAAAGUUCUUGAAAUAUGCACUAAUUUUGUUCAAUGCUGUGCGGUUGUGAUUUUUGAAGGACUAUAUUACCCCAAGGCAGUGAACAGAAGUGAGGUUUGGUCAUUUGAAACUGCCAUGCAUAGUGAGAAAUUUGCUUCAUUUUGAAGGCAGGCAUGGUCUAUUGCCCUACUAUUUGACAGGUACGAGGCAUGUGGGGCCUUCCACACCUUGUGCCUGGAUGAGUAAGUGAGUGUAGGCCCUCAUCAUGUGCUUGAAUUAGAGAAAUGGAGAAGUGUUUCUUGUAUAUUUGAGAAAAUGAGCUUUGAAAGGGAGAAUAAUUAUUUUUUCAGUAAUUUUGCAAACCCUUUCAGAAAUUUACAACAUAUUUGUAGAACACUGAUAAUACAUGGUGUUGUUUCAUGAUUCAUGUUUAUGUCUUUGAUUUGAUCCCAUUGCUGCCACUGCACUGACACCUCAACUUUUGAUAUUGAUACUGCUACUAUUGCUUCAGUGGUUCCAAAAAAAGGAAGCUAACAAAUUGCAUUUUUUUUGUACUACUUAAGCGUUCUGCAGAUGUGAGGAAAGACCUGAGCAGACUCUCUCACUCUCUCACGUGGCAGUUAGCUCAGCUGCUUCCACAUGUUUGUGGCAGGCUUAAGUUGAAUUUUCAUAUUAAGAAAUAACCGCUGCAAAUUUAGGCAAGAAUAGUGAAAAACCUGAAGACUUGAAGGGGAGAUGGGAUGGCAGAAUUUGGAAAACUACUGUACCUACUUUUACCCUGAAUUGAUCCUAUUUCUGUCAUUUCUAUUGUCACAACAGCUAUUGACAUUGACUCUGCUACCAUCCCUGCAACAAGUAUGGCCUGCUAUUGCUACCACUGUCACCAUGUUUCAGCCAUGGACAGCAGUGAGAUGUGAUGUAAAAACUAAAACCGAGAAUAAUUUUGAGCAGAUCCUGAUUGACAUGGUUCUUGAAGGGAUCCAAUAUGUCACAGCUUCAAGAAUGUAGUUCAAGUGAUGGCACCAGGAAACUCCGAGUCACCAUUUUGGCUGAUGAGUGGCAAUCCAGUAAAGUAGGGCUUUCCACUAUGAACAAAGAGUUGGCCAUUCAAUUAGCCCAAUUUUCUAAUGUUGAAGUCACCGUCUUUUUGCUUAAAUGCACAGCAAAGGACAAGAGAGAAGCUCACAGGCAUGAUAUUUCCCUUCUUAAGGCAGAGAAACGACCUGGUUACAAUAUGCUGGACUGCCUUAGCUUUCCUCCAGAUGACUUGAGUAUAGAUGUGGUUGUCGGUCAUGGAAGUCAUCUUGGUCGUCAAGGUCAAAUUAUUCGCAACUCUCACAAGUGCAAGUGGAUUCAAGUUGUACACUCAGACCCAGAAGAACUAGGAAUGUUAAAACAUUCUUUGAAUGGAAUCUCAGAGGGAGAGAGAAAGCACAAUAUUGAGGUAAAGCUAUGCCAGAUGGCUGAUUUUGUUGUUGGAGUUGGACCCAAGCUGACCGAAGCCUUUCGCAAUUGCCUUGCCUUCUAUAAAAAAGAUGUUUUUGAGUUUACUCCUGGUCUUUUCAAAGACUUUUCCAGUGUUGCACAAGCUUUUGAUGAGAGAUCAUACUGCAGUGUUUUGAUCUUUGGUCGUGGAGAUCGGGGAGAUUUCAUGUCGAAGGGAUUUGACAUUGCCGCAAAAUCUGUUGCUGACUUGCCUGACAGUCGUCUAUUUUUCGUGGGGGUGCGCAAGAAAAAACAAAAGGAGAUCCUUGAUUAUUUGAUUAAAUUUGGCUUUUCUACACAACAACUGCGGGUGAAAUGUUAUGAGAAUGGCCGAGACUUUCUCAAAAAGUUAUUUUGUCAGGUGGACCUUCUGCUGAUGCCGUCAAGGACUGAAGAGUUUGGCUUGACAGGCCUUGAGGCUCUUUCAGCUGGGCUUCCUGUAAUCGUCAGCAAGAAAUCAGGUUUUGGGGAAGCUCUGAGCAGUGUAAAUUGUGGCUCUUUGUUUGUCAUUGACUCUGAAGAUCCCAUUGUAUGGACAGCAGCAAUCAAGGAAAUGUGGGAAAAAGGCAGGCAGUUACGGCUUAAUGAAGUUGAGCGUGUGCGUAGUUCCUAUGAUGAAAAAUACAGUUGGUCUAAACAGUGCAAAGCUCUCAUUGAAAAGAUGAUUAAACUGGUUGAUGGAACUUCCUCUGAGCCUGAAAUCACAACACAGGCAGUGGGAGCUGAAACGGAACAAGGAGACUUGGAUGAUGAAGGUAGUUAUUUUCAUGAUAUUAAGGCACUAUUGCAUGGAAGUGAGUAACUUCUGCAGUUAUGCGGAAAAGCCCAGCUGGAAAAAAAAGCUUAAAUAGGACGUGAGCCCAUACAUGACCUAUGCGACUGUGCUGCAUACUGCCCUGCCACCAGAGCUACCAACAUGCAAGAACUGGGCAAAUGCAAACUCAGUUUUGUAGUCCACACUGAGAGAGUGAGGACAAAUUUGUUCAUAUAUGUGGCACAUCAUAAAGAAAAUAAAAGUUUUUGUGGAAUGGUCAAUUCUAAGGACACUUACCUAUUACAAAGAGAUUUUAAGUUUUCAGGAACAUAGAAGCAUUUUUCUGUAGCUGGUAGCAAGCGUACUGUUAUCUUGUUCUAUUUGACAUCCUUUCUUACCAAUGUGUGAAUGUCUUUUGUUCAAUAUUGUUCUUAGGCCAUUCUCCAGGUUCUCCAUCCAAUAGGACAAGAUGAAUUGGAAAGAAUUUGUCUGAGCAGCCAGCAGUUCUUCCCCAGGAAGAAGUGUCAAAAGAGGGAAUGACCAUGACCCAAAAAUUAAAGUAUUAGGCUCUAUAAAGACACAGUUGUUGUGAAACCAGUCCACCACCAGUGAAAAAUUGAGAAAUCAAAUAUCUUUUAUAUUGUAAAGUGACUGAGCUGACCACCGGGGUGUUCUGAUUGGUCGAAAGUCUAUGGUUUAUUUUAUUAACUUGCACCUAUGUAGGUCAUAGAUUUGAUUCGUCAAAUUUACCAGUGCAAAGUUGUAAUUUUGCUAGUUUUCUUGUUGAAGAGUUCAGCAUUCAGUUAGAAGACGAUUUCACUUUCAUUUUCUGUUAACCUUUUUUAAUAGAACAAAAUUUGAUAUAAAAAACACCAAAAAAAAAAAGAACGGACAACUCAGAAUUCAAAGCCUUGGGUGUUGUGUCCCAAUGUUGUAAUAAAUUCUUAAAUCACACCUAAGAAAAAGGACCGUAUUGAGUUUAAGACUUGACAGCAAGAGUCUAAACCCAGGCACGUAGGGAGGGCGUGCGAUGGGUGCGCCCGCACACCCCCGCGCCACAGGCAGCAGAGGUCCACUUUUUUGUUGACCAGCAACUUGGUUGGCACACUAUCAGCACCAUUGAUCAUCAUGGUUUGCGGCAGCAAAACCAGUGAACAAUACGGAUUUUCGACUUUAUUUCUAUUUUUGUUCUUUUAAUUAGUGACAUUCUCUAAAACUGUAAAAUACGCCAAAAAAUCCAUCAUUUUGAAGUUAAACGGUUUGAGUAAUAUCCACAUUUUAAAGUUCGCUUGUGACUGCCUGUUUUUGCAUCAUACUGCCCUCAAAACGCACAAAAUGUAUUCUCAGACAUCGUAAUUUUCAAAUUUUCUCAGGGGAGCGUGCCCCCGCAUUCUCCUAGAUGCUUGCGCUUCUGGCGCAAGUUUGGUCCGCUCCUCGUUGGAUCCCACCCUCCCGCAAAUAAAUCCUGCCACCGAGCCUGAAACCGCUGUAAAAAAAAAACAACAACUGAUCUUUGAAUAUUUAUUUGAGGAAAAUUAUUGAAAGGUGUGGAAUUUAAGGGUUAAGGUAAAGAAAAGUGGGAGUCAAAACCUGAUGGUCAACACAGUGUGUAAAACACGUUUUGAGUUAGCCAAUCAGUAUACGUACUUACGUAAUCUCAACCUGAACAGCUGGGUUUUUAAGAUCAGAAUUAUUAAUUUAAAGCACUGAAGUUGAGCAGGCGAUAAAUUAUGAAUUUUGAUGUAAAGUUGUCUUUUGUGAAAAAUUUAGGGUUCGAGAAAUGUCAAGAAUCGAAUUAUUUUAGAAUGUUGUUUUACAGACUGCAGCAGUAAUAAAUAGUUACAGCUUUUUUUGUUUUGCAAAAUGAAGAAUGAAUGCCACGAAAAUACCCUAUUGAGGUAAAUCUUAUGUAAAGUCCUCUGAGAGUUGACACUGUAAAUUAUUGUAUAAAAUAAUAACACACUCGUGAAAUGGCAACCACCCAGCACAACAUUGUUACAAUCGUUCUUAUCAUUUGUCUUCUAUAAUAUACUUAGCUUUUUAGGUCAUGACAUUAUUCUUUGGUGUUUGUGAGAAAAUAUUUUCAUUUGUUGGAAAAAAAAUAAAUUUUACGGUAACAUUGAA